UCCGGUGUGGUGUAACGGUUAUCAUUCCGCGUUUUCAUCCUGGAAAUGUGUGCCGCGGGGAUCAGGGUUCGAUUCCCUGCACCGGAG